UAGAGUUUGAUCAUGGCUCAGGAUGAACGCUAGCGACAGGCUUAACACAUGCAAGUCGAGGGGCAGCGGGGAGGUAGCAAUACUUCCGCCGGCGACCGGCGCACGGGUGAGUAACACGUAUGGAACCUGCCCGUAGCAGGGGGAUAAACGGAAGAAAUUCCGUCUAAUACCGCGUAAUAACUCCGAGAGGCAUCUCAUGGAGUUUAAAGGGUAACACCGGCUACGGAUGGCCAUGCGGCGCAUUAGCUAGUUGGCGGGGUAACGGCCCACCAAGGCGACGAUGCGUAGGGGUUCUGAGAGGAAGGUCCCCCACACUGGUACUGAGACACGGACCAGACUCCUACGGGAGGCAGCAGUGAGGAAUAUUGGUCAAUGGGCGCGAGCCUGAACCAGCCAAGUCGCGUGAGGGAAGACGGUCCUAUGGAUUGUAAACCUCUUUUGUCGGGGAGCAAAAGACGCCACGUGUGGCGUUCCGAGAGUACCCGAAGAAAAAGCAUCGGCUAACUCCGUGCCAGCAGCCGCGGUAAUACGGAGGAUGCGAGCGUUAUCCGGAUUUAUUGGGUUUAAAGGGUGCGCAGGCGGAAGAUCAAGUCAGCGGUAAAAUUGAGAGGCUCAACCUCUUCGAGCCGUUGAAACUGGUUUUCUUGAGUGAGCGAGAAGUAUGCGGAAUGCGUGGUGUAGCGGUGAAAUGCAUAGAUAUCACGCAGAACUCCGAUUGCGAAGGCAGCAUACCGGCGCUCAACUGACGCUCAUGCACGAAAGUGUGGGUAUCGAACAGGAUUAGAUACCCUGGUAGUCCACACAGUAAACGAUGAAUACUAAUUGUUCGGGGAGAAUGAUCCCUGAGUGAUACAGCGAAAGCGUUAAGUAUUCCACCUGGGGAGUACGCCGGCAACGGUGAAACUCAAAGGAAUUGACGGGGGCCCGCACAAGCGGAGGAACAUGUGGUUUAAUUCGAUGAUACGCGAGGAACCUUACCCGGGCUCAAACGACACAGGAAUACUUUUGAAAGGAGGUAGCUCUACGGAGUCUGUGUCGAGGUGCUGCAUGGUUGUCGUCAGCUCGUGCCGUGAGGUGUCGGCUUAAGUGCCAUAACGAGCGCAACCCCCAUCGCCAGUUACCAGCAAGUCAAGUUGGGGACUCUGGCGAGACUGCCGGCGCAAGCUGUGAGGAAGGCGGGGAUGACGUCAAAUCAGCAUGGCCCUUACGUCCGGGGCGACACACGUGUUACAAUGGCAGGUACAGAGAGAAGCAAUGCGGCGACGCAAAGCGGAACUUGAAAGCCUGUCUCAGUUCGGAUUGGAGUCUGCAACUCGACUCCAUGAAGCUGGAUUCGCUAGUAAUCGCGCAUCAGCCAUGGCGCGGUGAAUACGUUCCCGGGCCUUGUACACACCGCCCGUCAAGCCAUGGAAGCCGGGAGUGCCUGAAGUGAGCAACCGCAAGGAGCGCCCUAAGGUAAAACUGGUGACUGGGGCUAAGUCGUAACAAGGUAACCGUA
rnacentral:rRNA from 1 species